GCGCAUUGCACAGGACUGCGUCCAGAGGGAUCUUGAGAAUUUCCAGUUAGGGAGACUCCACAGCUUCUCUGGACUAUCUGCUCCAGUGCUCAGUCACCUACACAGUAAUGAAGCUUUUCUUCAUGUUAAGGUUUUCUCACUUAUAUGUCCAGUUAUACAAAAACACAUCUGAGGGAAUGCCAGUCUUGUGUCUCACUGACACACAAACAAAAUGAAAAUCACAACCUUGAAGAGCCCAGCUACUCUAGGAAGAUCUGAAGUAUGUGUAUCUGAAGAAAGGGAUUUCCAUCAGCUUGGCAUAAGCUGUACAGGAAAUAGGCCGCAGAAACUUGAAAACAGCUUUUAGUUGACCUUGCAUUUCAAAUUAUAUGAAAACAUAAUUGCAGUAGUAGAGAUUUUCUGUAUAGAUAAGUUUUAUAGAUAAACACAGCAUUGAAUAUUUUAAUGCAGCGUUGGAUAUUUGGACAUGUGUGUGAAGGGCCUGAAGAACUGAUUCUGGAUAUUUACGUCUACAGGUUAGUGACGAAUCUGCCUAGGAGGGCCAUUCAACAGUCUUUGAGCAAGGGUGAUCAAUGGAAUGCCCAACUUGGAUGUUUUUGGAAUCAUCAGUAUGAAUUUUCUUGAAAGCAUAAUGAUAGUAGGGCUGUAUAUACCAGUAAGUGCUUAUUUAGCCCAAGAAUAUAUUUGGUUUAAUUUAAUCCCUGUUAUCAGCAUGGUAUUUUUAUAUGACCAAGUCAUGCACAGACCUAAACAGGUCAGACUUCUCAGCAGCUGUUUGAAGUGCAUGACACAUUCUGGACGGAAGAAGCUGUCAAGGAGUGUAAUGAGGGCAGUUUUGAAGGAAAUAUCACUUAAUUGUGGCUGAUGCUGCUGAAUUAGUCAUACAUCCUUAUUGCCAGGAGACACCGUCAUGGAGCUUUAGCUCUUCUAUCUCAGGAUGGCAUGUUUUACAACCUGAAUUUAGAGAAACAGCUGCAGUAAUGAAAUAAUUCACAUUCUGCUCCUUACUCAUAAAUGUGCAAUAGCCAUCCCAAACAACACAACAACACAGCACAAAAUGGUUUUGGUUUGUUUUUUUUUUUCUGGGAGCAAAAUAUGGCUCAAAACACAACAUGUUAAAUUUUGGAUUGUACAAAAUCUGUGUCACUAACAGCAUAGAAUAGCUAUCAAGUUGAAAGCUUGUAAGGACAGACAAAUCUUUUAUGAACACGUAUUUCUUGAAGAGGUCUCUUCACUUUCCUGUUGGUGUGCUGGUGAAAAAUUGAUUCUAGAAUGUUAAAUUAAAAAUCACUGCAGAAGCAUUUUAAGCACAAAUUCAUAAUAAAUUUCACAUAGAUUUUAUCUGUUGAUUUUUUUACUGGGAAAUUUACCAAACCAUUCUACUCUACUUGUAAUAUCCCUGCACCAAAAAUGUCAAUUUCCUUCAAAUGACAGAAGCAAGCUCAGGAAGUUCUGAGCUGUUUGUUUAUUUGGGGUCGUAUCAAUAGGAUCAACCACAUCAAUGCUUAAAGACUUACAUUAUGAGUAAUCAACUGUUUCAUUUGGUGUGUCUUAACUACUCCUAAUUUCCCUUGGGCUUCCUGUGCUUGCUGCAUGUUGUGUUCUCUCUGCUGAGGACAGUCAGUGUGCCUAUUUUUAGCAGUGACAAGUUAAACAGCCCCCACAAGGAAAGAUGCAAUAGCUGUUAAAUAAGGAUAUAAUGUGAGUGAAUAAACAUCUCCCAUUGACUUGUCCUUUCCAGAAAAGUUACUUGUUAUUUCCUUUUUCUCCACGUUUACAGAAGAAAGGUAUGGCUUUGCUAAUUAAUGUCUUACAAAGCUCAGGUCAGAGUUUUUAAUCUGCAGCCCCACAGAUUGUGUUCAGUUGGACGAAACAAUUAAUUCAACAUGCUUCUCAGGAAGCCUCAGUUUCUUCCUAUCAUAUUUGCACAUCCUAAACUACACCACACAAUCUGUUUCUCAAGUUUUAUGCUGAUAUUUCCAUCAACAUUAUCAUUAGCCUGCAAGGCUGAGCUCUAAUUAUUAAAAUGUCCAAUGCUGAACAGGUUUACAGCCAGUACAGACACAUUCCACCUUAACAACCCCUUAUCACAGCAUCUGCUGGAUUAAUUACUGUGAGGUCACAAACCCCUCUUCUAGAUCAAAAGUGAACUGACUGGAGAGUCCAACUUAACUGACCUAAUUCCAAGUGGCGAAAUUUCUCAUUAACUGGACCCAGUUUGUUUCUGUGUCUAUUUGUGUUUGUUUAUUAUUUAAAUAUAGGUAAGUAGGAAGAGCUUAGGCAAUUGCUAGCACAGUCAUAAUUUUCUUUCCCAGACAGAUGGCACAAGUGAUGAGGGCCCCUAGAAAAGACUUGGCAUCUCUAAAGUUACAAUCAAUAUAUCAGCUAUGAUAUACUGGGGCUUUAAUAGGGAAUGCCAAACACCAUUUUUGGGCAGCUCCUCAAAAAAAUGGAAGAGUGAGAGCAACACUUAAAAGUGUUCUACUAGAUAGUGCAUCACAUGUGGUUCAUGUUUCAGAGGUUCUUGUCUUAAAUCAGUCUUAAAGAAAAAAAAACAGUUAUGCAAAGGAAAGGUAUACAAAUAGUAUAGCAUUGGUUAAAAAUGGUAACAAAAAUGUGUGACAAGCCUUUAUGUACAAUUUAAAAUUUGAAAGUGAAGUGAAAGUUCAACAUUAUCCUACAAAAACUAAAAUCCUGCAACAGUAGAAAUUACUGAGUGAAUAGCAUCAAUUGAUCAAAUAUAUAGACCUACUUAAUUUUCACUCCGUGUAUUUAUUCAUAUACAAUAGUCAUUUUCACAUUUUCAAUCUUUUCCAUGAAUACUAAAAUCAUUUUUAUAAUGGCAGGCAUUUCUCUCUCCAUUUCACGUUUGUGAUCAGGGCUAAACAUUGCUUACACUCGGCCUUAAUGGUGCAUUUCUGUUGAGCACCAAAUCUCAUUUCAAGUCCUCAGUUAUGCAAUAUUCCUUCCACUUACAGACUCCUGCUGUUAGUCUCUGCAUCGGAUCAUUAAGUGCUGCUUUGCAACACCAUCAAAAUAAAACUAUUUUUUUUCAGUUUGUGUUUGAAAUGUUAUCAGCACACAGUUGAAGAAAUCUAUUUAGACAGUGGUGGUCUCACAUUUCAUGUAUAGAAUACUUCUUCUGGUAUGUUGGAGGUGUAAGAGAUCUUGCUGCAACAAGAGCAAGGUGUUUUGAUUCAAGGUGGGGUGGGGAAUCAGCCCAAGGGACACAGCAGUCUUGUAGACCAGUAGAUAAGACAGUCACCAUAUAAUGAGACUGGAAAAGGUGGAAUUGCUUCUGUUAAUGCAAGGUUGACAAUUCACUAUUCAUUCAUUGACAAUUAACAAUGACUAUCUCUGAAAUAGUCAGAGAUGUAAGCAGAAAGGAAGCCUCAAAUCUUACAACCUGCACCAAAACACCAGCAAGGCUUUAAGACAGACUGCAAAUUAAGCCUCAGCCUUUCCAGGAGUUUCAUUGUACUAUUACAAAAGCUCAGCAGCAGCUUCAAGAGGAAGCUGCAGCCUAGCUAGCCGAGCCAACUGAGGCUGCUCAAAGUCGAUUUGUCAUCUGCAGCCAGAUGAAUGCUUAUCACAUCUAUACCUCACACUAAGCUUAAUAAAUACAAUUCUGUUUGCAUUGUUUGGGGCAUUACUGUUAUCCACAGCCUGAAAAUAGCUCAGCCUUCACCAAAAUGGCAUUUUAUAAACUAGUACUUUGCUAAAGAAGUGUAUUUUUUGCCACAGCUCUUUCCAGAGGGUACAAUACACAACACAGAAACAGUACAACCUCUCAGCAUUGCUGAACAACAGAACAGCUACAUGGUAAGACAGAGAAAUUGGGAACAGGUUGCCUUACAGAGUACCAUGGCUAAAACCAGAAUUUUAAUAGCAUAUGGUUUUGAGUAAUUUUUUGGUACAUGUAUUACACAUUAAAGAUAUUGGCAAAAGUUUCAAAUAAGAUGAUUUUAUUUCUUUUUAAAUCAUUUAUACAGCACUGAAUAUUCUGAUGACUUUCAGACCUAAAAUAAUCCCUAUACACAUGUAGGUGUUUGUGUAUUGUAUUACAAACUAGUAUGUGUUGCCCCUCUUAUUUUCAGAAGAAAUAAGUGUUACAACUUUUCCUCAGGGAUAUCACAGUCUUUAUUUUAAGCAACUCUCAGUUAAUAUUUUAUCACCCUGUCAUUACCUUGUCUUCUAUUAACAUACCACUAUUCAUUUAUUAGCAUUUAUUGACUUUAGGCUGCAAAUUCAGAAAAGCAGACAUGUUGCAGGCUCAGUGGUUGUAAAGAUCUUUAUAUUCUGUGAAUCUGUCCAAAAGGGUGUCCAAAUCAUUAA